UCCUCGUUCCUUAAGUGCCUCAUCCAUCACGCUUCCUUCAGCCCCUCUGAGCCCCCUCCCUGCCCCGACCGGGCAGGCACCGGCUGAAGGUGGGGCUGGAGCCCAGGAAGGUAGCGGCCCUAGUCAGGAGUCCUGGAGUCACGAUGACACCCACGACACUCUCACCAAGGACACUUUCCUGUCCUCUCUGCACCCACUUGAGAGGACAGCCAGGGUGGAAGAGAUACUCUCAUCAUUUUUGGCGUUGGGGAUUGUCUCUCCUCCCUCCAGGGUUGCUGUGAGGGUUCAGUGGACUGAUGCAUGCAGAGCCCUCAGCACAGUGCCUGGUACACAGCAAGUGCUCACUCAGCACAUGCCGCUGGUGUUACUAAGCAGCAGAUGCCCAAGGCCACCUCCAGAGAGGACGCAGGACAACAGGAGGGCAGCGCAUCCACAGAGGCUCCCCAGGCUAUCAUGAGGGAGGAGAAACUCCCAAGUGUCUGAGGGGAUCAGCUCAGCACAGCGACUGCGGCUGUGGAGCCAGGCCUCCCCGCAGGGGCAGGCAGGGUCUGUCCGGACCACACAAGCAGCAUUC